CACUCUUUUACUGUGAAACUGCGAAUGGCUCAUUAAAUCAGUUAUCGUUUAUUUGAUAGUACCCUACUACAUGGAUACCUGUGGUAAUUCUAGAGCUAAUACAUGCGCAAAACCCCGACUUCGGAAGGGGUGUAUUUAUUAGAUAAAAAACCAAUGCCCUUCGGGGCUCCUUGGUGAUUCAUAAUAACUUCACGAAUCGCAUGGCCUUGCGCCGGCGAUGGUUCAUUCAAAUUUCUGCCCUAUCAACUUUCGAUGGUAGGAUAGUGGCCUACCAUGGUGGCAACGGGUAACGGGGAAUUAGGGUUCGAUUCCGGAGAGGGAGCCUGAGAAACGGCUACCACAUCCAAGGAAGGCAGCAGGCGCGCAAAUUACCCAAUCCCGAUACGGGGAGGUAGUGACAAUAAAUACUGAUACAGGGCUCUUUUGGGUCUUGUAAUUGGAAUGAGAACAAUCUAAAUCCCUUAACGAGGAACAAUUGGAGGGCAAGUCUGGUGCCAGCAGCCGCGGUAAUUCCAGCUCCAAUAGCGUAUAUUAAAGUUGUUGCAGUUAAAAAGCUCGUAGUUGAACCUUGGGCCCGUCCUGCCGGUCCGCCUCACCGCGAGUACUGGUCCGGAUGGGCCUUUCUUUCUGGGGAAUCCCAUGGCCUUCACUGGCUGUGGCGGGGAACCAGGACUUUUACUGUGAAAAAAUUAGAGUGUUCAAAGCAGGCCUUUGCUCGGAUACAUUAGCAUGGAAUAAUAGAAUAGGACGUGCGGUUCUAUUUUGUUGGUUUCUAGGACCGCCGUAAUGAUUAAUAGGGAUAGUCGGGGGCGUCAGUAUUCAGCUGUCAGAGGUGAAAUUCUUGGAUUUGCUGAAGACUAACUACUGCGAAAGCAUUCGCCAAGGAUGUUUUCAUUAAUCAGGGAACGAAAGUUAGGGGAUCGAAGACGAUCAGAUACCGUCGUAGUCUUAACCAUAAACUAUGCCGACUAGGGAUCGGGCGGGGUUUCUAUGAUGACCCGCUCGGCACCUUACGAGAAAUCAAAGUUUUUGGGUUCUGG
rnacentral:rRNA from 1 species